rnacentral:rRNA from 1 species
GAGUUUGAUCCUGGCUCAGAGCGAACGCUGGCGGCGUGCUUAACACAUGCAAGUCGAACGAGGUUUGUAGCAAUACAAAUACUCGUGGCGAACGGGUGCGUAACACGUGGAUAACCUUCCUUCAGGUGGGGAAUAACCCAGUGAAAAUUGGGCUAAUACCGCAUAACAUCGCGAUGGCACAUGCUGUUGCGUUCAAAGCCGCAAGGCGCCAGAAGAGGGAUCCGCGGCCGAUUAGCUUGUUGGCGAGGUAAUGGCUCACCAAGGCUUUGAUCGGUAUCCGGACUGAGAGGUUGGCCGGACACACUGGAACUGAGACACGGUCCAGACUCCUACGGGAGGCAGCAGUGGGGAAUCUUGCACAAUGGACGAAAGUCUGAUGCAGCAACGCCGCGUGGGGGAUGAAGCUUCUCGGAGUGUAAACCCCUUUCGACCUGGACGAAUGCCCGCAAGGGUUUGACGGUACAGGUAUAAGAAGCCCCGGCUAACUACGCGCCAGCAGCCGCGGUAAAACGUAGGGGGCCAGCGUUGCUCGGAAUUACUGGGCGUAAAGGGUCCGUAGGCGGUGCGGCAAGUCGGAAGUGAAAUCUCUGGGCUUAACCCAGAGGCUGCUCCCGAAACUGCCGUGCUAGAGUGCGAGAGAGGCGAGUGGAAUUGCGGGUGUAGCGGUGAAAUGCGUAGAUAUCCGCAGGAACAUCCGAGGCGAAAGCGGCUCGCUGGAUCGCAACUGACGCUGAGGGACGAAAGCUAGGGGAGCA